rnacentral:rRNA from 1 species
ACGUAGGGGGCUAGCGUUAUCCGGAUUUAUUGGGCGUAAAGCGAGCGCAGGCGGAAAAAUAAGUCUAAUGUGAAAGCCCUCGGCUUAACCGAGGAACUGCAUCGGAAACUGUUUUUCUUGAGUGCAGAAGAGGAGAGUGGAACUCCAUGUGUAGCGGUGGAAUGCGUAGAUAUAUGGAAGAACACCAGUGGCGAAGGCGGCUCUCUGGUCUGCAACUGACGCUGAGGCUCGAAAGCAUGGGUAGC